UCCACGAGCUGGAUUUGCAGAAAUAACUGCC
rnacentral:piRNA from 1 species